rnacentral:tRNA from 1 species
GGGUCCAUAGCUCAGUCGGUUAGAGCGCGUCGUUGACAUCGACGAGGUCAGUGGUUCGAAUCCACUUGGACCCA